GCCCAGUUAGCUCAGUUGGUUAGAGCAUGGUGCUCAUAACACCAAGGUCCAGGGUUAAAAUCCCUGUACUGGCCA